rnacentral:rRNA from 1 species
UACGGGGGGAGCAAGCGUUGUUCGGAUUUACUGGGCGUAAAGGGCGCGUAGGCGGCGCAACAAGUCACUUGUGAAAUCUCCGGGCUUAACCCGGAGCGGCCAAGUGAUACUGUCGUGCUAGAGUGCGGAAGGGGCUACUGGAAUUCUCGGUGUAGCGGUGAAAUGCGUAGAUAUCGAGAGGAACACCUGCGGCGAAGGCGGCAUCCUGGACCGAGAUUGACGCUGAGGAGCGAAAGCUAGGGGAGCAAACGGG